rnacentral:rRNA from 1 species
AAGGCAAGUAAAGUGGCGUACGGGUGAGUAACACGUGGAUGAUCUGCCUUUUAGUGGGGAAUACCGCUGGGAAACCGGUGACAAUACCGCAUAAUCCCGAGAGGGGAAACAAGCAAUUGGCUGAAAGAGGAGUCCGCGGUCGAUUAGUUAGUUGGCGGGGUAAUGGCCCACCAAGACUGUGAUCGAUAUCCGGCCCGAGAGGGCGCACGGACACACUGGAACUGAAACACGGUCCAG